AUUGAACGCUGGCGGCAUGCCUUACACAUGCAAGUCGAACGGCAGCACGGGGCAACCUGGUGGCGAGUGGCGGACGGGUGAGUAAUGCAUCGGAACGUACCUUUCAGUGGGGGAUAACGUAGCGAAAGUUACGCUAAUACCGCAUAUUCUGUGAGCAGGAAAGCAGGGGAUCGCAAGACCUUGCGCUGAUUGAGCGGCCGAUGUCAGAUUAGCUAGUUGGCGAGGUAAAGGCUCACCAAGGCGACGAUCUGUAGCGGGUCUGAGAGGAUGAUCCGCCACACUGGAACUGAGACACGGUCCAGACUCCUACGGGAGGCAGCAGUGGGGAAUUUUGGACAAUGGGGGCAACCCUGAUCCAGCCAUGCCGCGUGAGUGAAGAAGGCCUUCGGGUUGUAAAGCUCUUUCGGCCGGGAAGAAAUCGCACGGGCUAAUACCCUGUGUGGAUGACGGUACCGGAAUAAGAAGCACCGGCUAACUACGUGCCAGCAGCCGCUGUAACAC
rnacentral:rRNA from 1 species